rnacentral:rRNA from 1 species
CAGUAGCCGCGGGAAUACGUAGGUGGCAAGCGUUGUCCGGAAUUAUUGGGCGUAAAGGGCUCGCAGGCGGUUUCUUAAGUCUGAUGUGAAAGCCCCCGGCUCAACCGGGGAGGGUCAUUGGAAACUGGGAAAUUUGAGUGCAGAAGAGGAGAGUGGAAUUCCACGUGUAGCGGUGAAAUGCGUAGAGAUGUGGAGGAACACCAGUGGCGAAGGCGACUCUCUGGUCUGUAACUGACGCUGAGGAGCGAAAGCGUGGGGAGCGAACAGGAUUAGAUACCCCCGUAGUCCCUGUCUCUUAUAC